rnacentral:lncRNA from 1 species
GCAUUUUCUCACUUGAAGGGCUUUGAACACACAUGAAGGGCUUUGAACACACAUGAAGGACUGUGAACACACAUGAAGGAAAGGCUAUGAACAUAUCAGUUUCUCCCUUCAGGCUCCUGAUUUGAGUUCCUGCACUGAAUUCUCUCAGGAAUGAUAGACAGUUACCUGAAACCGUGAGCUGAAAUAAACCCGUUCUUCCACCAACUUGCUUUUGGUCACAGUCUUUAUCACAGCAUAAAAACCCAACUAAGAUAGAUGACAAGCCAACGUCAAGCUAAUAUGUCAAUGCAUUUCUUCUAUAAAGCCAGGUUAGCUGCAGAUCCUUAAGCAUCUUGGGC